rnacentral:tRNA from 1 species
GAGGGUAAAGCUCAGUUGUACAAUGUGUGCUUGCCAUGCACGAGGUCCUUGGUUCAAUCCCCAGUACCUUCA